rnacentral:rRNA from 1 species
AUUGAACGCUGGCGGCAGGCUUAACACAUGCAAGUCGAGCGAGCGGCGGACGGGUGAGUAAUGUCUGGGACACUGCCGGAUGGAGGGGGAUAACGACUGGAAACGGUAGCUAAUACCGCAUCCCAUAAGAUGUGCCCAGAUGGGCUUAGCUAGUAGGUGGGGUACUGGCUCACCUAGGCGGCGAACCCGAGCUGGUCUGAGAGGAUGACCAGCCACCCUGGAACGGAGACACGGUCCAGACUCCUACGGGAGGCAGCAGUGGCGAAUGUUGCACAAUGGGCGCGAGCCUGAUGCAGCCAGGCCGCUUGUGUGAAGGAGGCCUUCGGGUUGUAAAGCACUUUCAGCGAGGAGGCGUUACUCGCAGAAGAAGCACCGGCUAACUCCGUGCCAGCAGCCGCGGUAAUAC